rnacentral:rRNA from 1 species
CGUACACUCCUACGGGAGGCAGCAGUGGGGAAUCUUGCGCAAUGGGCGAAAGCCUGACGCAGCCAUGCCGCGUGAAUGAUGAAGGUCUUAGGAUUGUAAAAUUCUUUCACCGGGGACGAUAAUGACGGUACCCGGAGAAGAAGCCCCGGCUAACUUCGUGCCAGCAGCCGCGGUAAUACGAAGGGGGCUAGCGUUGCUCGGAAUUACUGGGCGUAAAGGGAGCGUAGGCGGACAUUUAAGUCAGGGGUGAAAUCCCGGGGCUCAACCUCGGAAUUGCCUUUGAUACUGGGUGUCUUGAGUAUGAGAGAGGUGUGUGGAACUCCGAGUGUAAAGGUGAAAUUCGUAGAUAUUCGGAAGAACACCAGUGGCGAAGGCGACACACUGGCUCAUUACUGACGCUGAGGCUCGAAAGCGUGGGGAGCAAACAGGAUUAGAUACCCGUGUAGUCCCAUG